rnacentral:rRNA from 1 species
UACAGAGGUCUCAAGCGUUGUUCGGAUUCAUUGGGCGUAAAGGGUGCGUAGGCGGCGCGGUAAGUCGGGUGUGAAAUCUCGGAGCUUAACUCCGAAACUGCAUUCGAUACUGCCGUGCUUGAGGACUGGAGAGGAGACUGGAAUUUACGGUGUAGCGGUGAAAUGCGUAGAUAUCGUAAGGAAGACCAGUGGCGAAGGCGGGUCUCUGGGCAGUUCCUGACGCUGAGGCACGAAGGUCAGGGGAGCAAACGGG